ensembl:lncRNA
CAUUGAAGGACUGAUGCUGAAGCUGAGACUCCAAUAUUUUGGCCACCUGACACAAAGAGCUGACUCAUUUGCAAAGACCCUGAUGUUGGGAAAGACUGAAGGCAGGAGGAUAAGUGGAUGACAAAGAAUGAGAUGGUUGGAUGGUACCACUGACUCAAUGGACAUGAGUUUGAGAAAACUCUGGGAGUUGGUGAUGGACAGGGAGGCCUGGCAUGCUGCGGUUCAUGAGGUCGCAAAGAGUCAGAUUUGACUGAGCAACUGAACUGAACUGAACUCCUUUUAUUUCACUGAUUGUCCCAGUAUGAAAAUUUUCAAGUUUUUGUUUCAAACUUUCUUUCAAGCUCUCUCCUUAAUUUUGAUUUUUAAAAAUGUUUAUUUCAGGAUUAGUAAAUAACAAUGCUUCAAAGAACUGUAUAUUUGUGGGCAAACAGAAUACACGGGCAUGUCCUUUUAGUGGAAAAGAUGAAUUAUCACAGUAUAAGCUUGCCAUGUUCUAAUGAACUCAGUUGAUUCAAUCCAUUGUUUCUAAAUUAUCUAGGCUAUUAUCACUUUGCUCAUGUGAUAGACACCCAAAAGUUCCCAAGUUACCAUGACUCUUUUCUUGGAUCCACUGGAUUAUCCAUACUUAAAUAUGAUCAUACUUAGGUUAUUCAUACUUAGAUAUGAUCUUCAUGGCUUACUUAAUGCUUCUUUCAAGGUUAUUAGAGAUUCUUGCAGCCUGUGGUGGUUUAGUCGCUAAGUUGUGUCUGAUUCUUGCAACCCCAUGGACUGUAGACUCCCAGGUUUCACUGUCCAUGGGAUUCUCCAGGCAAGAAUACUGGAGUGGGUUGCCAUUUCCUUCUCCAGGGGAUCUUCCCAACCCAGGGAUCAAACCCAAGGCUUUUACAUUGCAGGCAGAUUCUUUACCAACUGAGCUAGCAGCCUAUUCUCUUUUAAAUCAUUGUCUUGCUCAUAUCCUUUACAAAACAGAGCCACAUCUGAAACUGAGCUGGAGUCCAGGAUCAAGAAUGCAUUUAAUAUGUCAUAGUUUCUGAAAAUGAGGGAAAUGACAAAGGCAGAGGUAAUGAAGAAGUCUGAAGACCCACUAGCUCAGAAGGUAUGCACUAUCUCUUUAUUUAUACUGCUUAAUAUUUGGUGAUCACACUUUUUGAGUAGCUCAACCGCCCUGUGAAAUGUCAACUUGCCACAGACAGCAGCAUCCUUAUGAGAACCUAGUGUUUAAAGACAAGUGGUACACAUUGGUGGAAUAAUACUGAAGGGUGGACUAUUAUCACUUGGAAGCAUUUCUCAGAAUAUUAAGGUCAGGUGGUCUUGCUUUGUGAAAUCUCUGCUUAUGCAUUUAAGUUGUGCACCUUAUAAAAUCUGCACUUAUGGAUUAAGAAUUGCCUGUAAAACUUUUCUGUAUGUAAACUAGGAUUUAUUAGAAUCUUGAAAAUAAAUUCCUCAAUAAAACAGUGAGUAACACUUUAUAAUGAACAAAGCCUUAUGAUUGCAUAAUUAGGCAGAAAUACAUUAUUUUCAGGAAAAAUAUUUGUAGAAAAUUGUAAACAUGGAGGUAAAGUAAUAUUUCUGUUUUCCGUAAGAGAUUAAAGGUCACAGGUUCAGAGGUCCACAGCCAUACUAAAAAGGCAAUUAAAGUUCAACAAAAUCUAUGAAGAUUUCAUAGCGGUUGUCCUUCUGACUUUAACAGGUCACUAGAAGGCAAUGGCACCCCACUCCAGUACUCUUGCCUGGAAAAUCCCUUGGAUGGAGGAGCCUGGUAGGCUGCAGUCCAUAACGUCUCUAAGAGUCAGACACAACUGAGCGACUUCACUUUCACUUUUCACUUUCAUGCAUUGGAGAAGGAAAUGGCAACCCACUCCGGUGUUCUUGCCUGGAGAAUCCCAGGGACGGGGGAGCCUGGUGGGCUGCUGUCUAUGGGGUCGCACAGAGCUGGACAUGGCUGAAGCGACUUAGCAGCAGCAGCAGCAGGUAGAUAUUGUACGAAAAUCAAAUGGAUUUGUUAAUGUACAUAAGUGUGAAGUCAAGAUCUUUUAAAAAAGAAAAAAGUUGCUUUAUUUUGAAAUAAAGCAACAAAUGAAUAAAUGGACAAACAUAAUUCUUAUAAACACUGAAAUAAUGCAAUUAGGUGGAGUUUGCUUUAUUGAACACUUAUUCUCUGUCAAAUCAAAUGUUUCUGUAAAUCAAAUUUUCUGAUAUUACAUGUACUUUUCCUACAGAAAGUUUUAAAUUAAUUUUGCUUUAGAUUUUUUAUUGCUUUCUAUUGAUUUUUAUAAAAUCUGCACUUAUGGAUUAAGAAUUGCCUGUAAAACUUUUCUGUAUGUAAACUAGGAUUUAUUAGAAUCUUGAAAAUAAAUUCCUCAAUAAAACAGUGAGUAACACUUUAUAAUGAACAAAGCCUUAUGAUUGCAUAAUUAGGCAGAAAUACAUUAUUUUCAGGAAAAAUAUUUGUAGAAAAUUGUAAACAUGGAGGUAAAGUAAUAUUUCUGUUUUCCGUAAGAGAUUAAAGGUCACAGGUUCAGAGGUCCACAGCCAUACUAAAAAGGCAAUUAAAGUUCAACAAAAUCUAUGAAGAUUUCAUAGCGGUUGUCCUUCUGACUUUAACAGGUCACUAGAAGGCAAUGGCACCCCACUCCAGUACUCUUGCCUGGAAAAUCCCUUGGAUGGAGGAGCCUGGUAGGCUGCAGUCCAUAACGUCUCUAAGAGUCAGACACAACUGAGCGACUUCACUUUC